UUUCGAAGCUGUUUCGAACGACAUGCACGUACUCCGUGUAAAAUCUCACUGAAGUGGAAAUUCUAAAUCAUUGCAGUAGAAAGUUCUUUGAAUUGCCAUUCAGUAGUAAAAUAAAUGUUAUGGUUUCGCCAUAUAGUUGGUAAAUUUAACACGGUAUACCGAAAAAUUCCGGUAUAUCCGAAAUUUCGGUAUAUCGGUAUGGUUGAAUAUCCGGUAUCGAUAUACCGAUAUUUAUUUAAAACUGAUAUUUUCGGUAUGUCGGUAUACCGAACAGUCCUAUCCUUAUCCCUGUCCUCAUCUUUAUUGUUAUUGUUGUUAUAAUUAUUAGUACCAUAACUUUGCUUGGUUGUAGGCUACUAUCAAAAUCUUCAUUUUUUGUUUUUUCCCUUUUAUAACAAAAAAGCCAACAAAGUUGGAAGACUGGAAAAGCGUGGUAAAUCUGUCGGUAUGAUUGCUUUGAAAAACAAAGAUGACGAUGAACCAACCAACACAGGUACAGGUUGUUGUUUGUUGCCAAGGAAGAAAGUGAAUCUUAUAUAAUGACUAACUAUCAUAUGAUUUCCGCGAUCAUGCAACGCAGACGUCAAACUCAACGCGAAAUCAAAGUCCAUAUCUCAAUUCGCGCAGCCUUAUAUCCCCUAUGUUUAAUUGUUUCAUCAGUUUAGCAAGUUCCUGAUGCAGUUGUGGUAGAACACAGCUCGUAGUUUUAGCAGUUUGUCAGCCAUGUUUGCACUAAAGUAACAAGCGCAACUGAUCUCAAAUGUACUUCGCAACUGCAAUUUUAUCGGAAUUUCGUUGUAAGCAUGAACCAUCAAAUAAAAAAAUAAACACGUUAUUUACCGUUUAGGUCGGUCCGUCCUAAGAAUAUGU